ensembl:rRNA 5S_rRNA 5S ribosomal RNA
GUCUAUGGCCAUGCCACCCUGAACAUGCCCGAUAUUGUCUGAUCUUGGAAGCUAAGCAGGGUUGGGCCUGGUUAGUAUUUGGAUGGGAGACCACCUAGGAAUAGCAGGUGCUAUCUAUA